rnacentral:lncRNA from 1 species
CCUAGCAUCCCUCUUGUGCUCUUCGGGCCUCUGGUGUGGGGUCCUGUUCGUCACUCCUACAUGUGUUGCUUCUGCGCUUCUGGCUGGAUGAUUGAUUGGUAUUGUAUAUAUGCCUGGCCUUUCAGUGCUUUUUCUCUGGUCUUUCUCAUUGCGGAGAGCGUUGGGGGUUGAUGAUGGUCUCUUCAUAGAAAUCCUUUUUCCGGAUUUAUGGAUAACGUCUCUUAUAGUGUCUGAUCCAUUCAUAGGGUAUGGUACCGUCGCAAAAUUGGUUUGUUGUGCUAUAUGUUGUUGGCUUUGCAAGGUAGCCCGGAGGCUAGCUUUUACUUUCCGAUGCAAUCUGUUCAAGAACUUUUUAGUAUAACCAUAUUUGAAUCCUAAACGAUAUAUAAAUCCAAUUUCUUGAGACAGUGCAGCAGGAUGCAAUGAAUACAUAUGUGCCCUCUUAAAAUAGAAGUUAAAUGCCGAGGCCUUAUAAGAAAAAAAUGAAAAAAAAAUACAAAGAGAACACCAUCAAUCUUUGAUGCUCUCCGC